rnacentral:lncRNA from 1 species
CACUUUUUAAAAUAUCUAUAAAUUUUCUAACAUUCUUGACUAUAUCAAAUCAUAGCUAACCAUUUUCUGAUAGAUUAGGUUUUCAAUAACUUCAAAAGAAAUCUACAAUCUCUUUUCAAAAGCUCGUCUUUAUACAAAAAUUCAACCAUAGCUCCAUAUAUCCAUCUUCAACAUAUAUAUAAAAUCUUGGCUUCCAAAAUACUCCUUUACUUUGUAUAAAAUAUUCAAGUUAUAAUAAAAUUCCUUCAAAAUAUAAUAUUUCUGCAAAGGAUUUCUUCUUCUCAAACUUUAGAAAUUUAUAUCUCUUGAUCUAGCCAUUUAGAUUUUGCCAAAUUCAUAGAUAUUAUAAAAUUUAUCCUUGGGCUUUAUCUUACAAAAAUUCAACCAUAAAUUUGCUACUGAUCGUUUGGCAACUUAAAAACCCUAGCAGGUACUCUAAAAUCCUAAUUCACAAGCACCUAAGUACUA